GACAGAGGUGCCAAGCGUUAGGCGGAAUCACUGGGCUUAAAGCGUGUGUAGGCGGGGUUGUAAGUACCUUGUGAAAUCCCUCAGCUUAACUGGGGAACUGCGUGUGAUACUGGAUGGCUUGGAUUUGGGAGAGGGAUGCGGAAUUCCAGGUGUAGCGGUGAAAUGCGUAGAUAUCUGGAGGAACACCGGUGGCGAAGGCGGCAUCCUGGACCAAUAUUGACGCUGAGGAGCGAAAGCCAGGGGAGCAAACGGG
rnacentral:rRNA from 1 species